UAUGAGGACAGAUGGUGAUGUUAUGGGAUCACUGAGAUCAAAUCCAGAGUGAGAACACUGAAGAUCAGCAGCACAGUGCGGUUCACAGCGGAUGACAAUACAUGGGGUGUCUGCAUCAUAUUGGAGUAAAAACUGUUUACCAUCGUCUGGUGCUCCUGGUACUGUGUUGGUGAAACUUACUCAAGCUGUUCAUUCACGUCCGGUCAGCCACAUUCACAGUGUGAGAGUUCCAUGGGAGUUGUGAGACGGGAAAAAAGGCCAGGAACUCAUUCAUCAGAUACUGAGUGUGAAGAAAUAAACACAGUUCCCAUCAUAGUUGGUGUUUCAGUUGGUGGUGUUGUUAUUACUACAGCGGGAAUUUUAUUUCUUUGUGAUGCGUUUGAAACAAUACACCACAGA